ACAUCCCAGGAAUGUGGGACUGGAAACAUCCCAAAACAUCCCAAAACAUCCUGGGAAUGUAGCAAAACAACCUGGGAAUGUGGGACUGGAAACAUCCCAAAACACCCUGAAACAACCUGAAAUAUCCCAGGAAUAUAAGACAAGAAAAAACCCAAAACAUCCAGAAACAUCACGGGAAUGUGGGACCAGAAACAUCCCAAAACAUCCUGAAACAUCCCAAAACAACCCAGGAAUCUGGGACUGGAAACAUCCUGGGAAUGUGGGACUAGAAACAUUCCAAAACAUCCUGAAACAUCCCGAAAUAUCCCAGGAAUGUGGGACCAGAAAAAACCCAAAACAUCCUGAAACAACCUGGGAAUGUGGGACCAGAAAAAUCCUGACACAUGCCAGGAAUGCCAGGGUCAGGGAAAUCCCAGGAAUGUGGGACUGGAAACAUUCCAAAACAUCCCAAAACAUCUUGGGAAUGCUGGGCCUGGGGACAUCCCAAAACAUGCUGGGAACAUGGAACCAGAAAAAUCCUGAAAAAUCCUGAAACAUCCCAAAAUAUCCCAAGAAUGUGGGACCAGAAACAUCCCAAAACAUCCUGAAACAUCCCGGAAUGUCCCAGGAACGUGGGACUGGAAACAUCCUGAAACAACCUGGGAAUGUGGGACCAGAAACAACCUGAAACAUCCCGAAAUAUCACAGGAAUGUGGGACCAGAAAAAUCCCAAAAAAUCCUGGGAAUGCUGGAACCAGGCAGAUCCCAACCCUCUGCUUCCCAAAUUCCUGGGAAUGCUGGCACUGGGCACAUCCCAAAAAAAUCCCAAAACAUCCUGGGAAUGCUGGCACUGGACACACCCCAAAAAAAUCCCAAAACAUCCUGGGAAUGCUGGCACUGGCACAUCCCAAAAAAAUCCCAAAACAUCUUGGGAAUGCUGGCACUGGCACAUCCCAACCCUCUGUUUCCCAAAUCCCCCAGCCCAGGUGGGGGAAGGGCUCUGGGUCCCUCUGGGACAUUCCUGCUGCUUGAGCACCCCACUGCCAACCCCAGGGCUGGAUUUGGGGUUUUUGGGGUGGUUUUUGGGGUGGUUUUUGGGGUGGUUUGUGGCACUGAGCUGCUGGAAAUGGAAAUGUUCCAAGCCCGGCAUUCCCAGGAAAUUCCCUCCUGCAGCUCCCUGCCCGCUCUCAGCCGUUGGUGACAUCAAAGGCGGUGACAUCAAAGGUGGUGACAAAGUGACAAAGGGCCCGAUAAGGGAGUCCCCACCCCAAACCCCCCGCGGGAGGGGCAGGAGGGGGAGGGGAGCACACCUGGACACGCCCCGGGGCUCAGGAGCUGUGAGGGGAGCUGGGAAUUCCAGCUCUGCCCACACCAGGGAUUCCAGCUGUGCCCAGAUCAGGGAUUCCAGCUGUGAGGAGACCUGGGAAUUCCAGCUGUUCCCACCCCAGGGAUUCCAGCUGUGCCCACAUGAGGAGCAGGCUCAGGAGGGCAGGUGAGGCCUGGCCCUGCUGCUGUUCCACAGCCAGAUGUGCCCCCCCCCCCCGGGGGGGGGGGGGGGGGGGGGGGGGGGGGGGGGGGGGGGGGGGGGGGGGGGGGGGGGGGGGGGGGGGGGGGGGGGGGGGGGGGGGGGGCACUGCCCAGCUGUGCCCCAGCCCAGCAGCAGAGCAGGUGGCAGGGGACAGAUGUGGGGACUUUGUGCCCCUGGAGCAGCUCCAGCUCCUCCCUGCCCCAAACCCCCCCCGGGAAAAGCAGAGCUCUGAUAAGGCCAACGGCCGUGGGGCGGGGCCUGGCGCGGCCCCACAUCCCCCCAACGGCCCCGGGGGGGGGGGGGGGGGGGGGGGGGGGGGGGGGGGGGGGGGGGGGGGGG
rnacentral:lncRNA from 12 species